AAGUCGUAACAAGGUAACCGUAGGUGAACCUGCGGUUGGAUCAUUAAUGAUUACUGUUCGCUAGGCAGUUGUAGGUUUGCAAAAAUCUCCUGCCUUUUGAACUUUUCACACUUUGUGCACCGAGAUUGUAUUCUGGGCUUGCUUAACCUUGGUUAAGCGUGAAGAGCCCAGCAACUUUAAACCACUUUUAAAUUACUCUGAAUUUUUUAUUAUAAAAAAUAACAACUUUUGACAACGGAUCUCUUGGCUCUC
rnacentral:misc_RNA from 1 species